rnacentral:rRNA from 1 species
UACGUAGGCAGCAAGCGUUGUUCGGAAUUACUGGGCGUAAAGAGUGUGUAGGCGGUGCUCUAAGUCUGUUGUGAAAUCUCCCGGCUUAACUGGGAGGGUGCGGCGGAGACUGGAGUGCUAGAGUGUGGGAGAGGUAAGCGGAAUUCCUGGUGUAGCGGUGAAAUGCGUAGAUAUCAGGAGGAACACCAGUGGCGAAGGCGGCUUCUUGGGCCGUUCCUGACGCUGAGGCGCGAAAGCUGGGGGAGCGAACGGG